AUUGAACGCUGGCGGCAGGCCUAACACAUGCAAGUCGAGCGGAGCGGCGGACGGGUGAGUAAUGCCUAGGAAUCUGCCUGGUCGUGGGGGCUAACGUCCGGAAACGGGCGCUAAUACCGCAUACUAUCAGAUGAGUCUAGGUCGGAUUAGCUAGGUGGUGGGGUAAAGGCAUACCAAGUCGAAGAUCCGUAGCUGGUCUGAGAGGAUGAUCAGUCAAACUGGGACGGAGACACGGUCCAGACUCCGACGGGAGGCAGCAGUGGGGAAUAUUGGACAAUGGGCGAAAGCCGGAUCCAGCCAUGCCGCGUGUGUGAAGAAGGUCUGCGGAUUGUAAAGCACUUUAAGUUGGGAGGCGUUACCAACAGAAUAAGCACCGGCUAACUGCGUGCCAGCAGCCGCGGUAAUUC
rnacentral:rRNA from 1 species